rfam:Myotis davidii contig227392, whole genome shotgun sequence.
CGUGCAUCGGUGGGGUCCCUCAGCCUGGCUUGCAACCUCUCGCAUUCCAGGACCCCUCAGGGGAUGUCAGGGAGCCGGUUUUGGCCCAAUCCCGCAGGCCAGGCUGAGGGACCCCACUGGUGCAUG